CAAGUACUCCCUCCGUCCGGAAUUACUUGUCAUCAAAAUGGAUGUGUCUAGAACUAAAAUACAUCUAGAUACAUCCAUUUAAAUGACAAGUAUUUUCGGACGGAGGGAGUACAAG
rnacentral:pre_miRNA from 1 species